AUUGAACGCUGGCGGCAGGCCUAACACAUGCAAGUCGAACGGCAGCACGGGAGCAAUCCUGGUGGCGAGUGGCGAACGGGUGAGUAAUAUAUCGGAACGUGCCCAGUCGUGGGGAUAACGUAGCGAAAGCUACGCUAAUACCGCAUACGAUCUAUGGAUGAAAGCGGGGGAUCGCAAGACCUCGCGCGAUUGGAGCGGCCGAUAUCAGAUUAGGUAGUUGGUGAGGUAAAGGCUCACCAAGCCGACGAUCUGUAGCUGGUCUGAGAGGACGACCAGCCACACUGGGACUGAGACACGGCCCAGACUCCUACGGAGGCAGCAGUGGGGAAUUUUGGACAAUGGGCGCAAGCCUGAUCCAGCAAUGCCGCGUGCAGGAUGAAGGCCUUCGG
rnacentral:rRNA from 1 species